AGAGUUUGAUCCUGGCUCAGAUUGAACGCUGGCGGCAGGCCUAACACAUGCAAGUCGAACGGUAACAGGAAGCAGCUUGCUGCUUUGCUGACGAGUGGCGGACGGGUGAGUAAUGUAUGGGGAUCUGCCUGAUGGCGGGGGAUAACUACUGGAAACGGUAGCUAAUACCGCAUAAUGUCUGCGGACCAAAGCGGGGGACCUCCGGGCCUCGCGCCAUCAGAUGAACCCAUAUGGGAUUAGCUUGUAGGUAAGGUAACGGCUUACCUAGGCGACGAUCCCUAGCUGGUCUGAGAGGAUGAUCAGCCACACUGGGACUGAGACACGGCCCAGACUCCUACGGGAGGCAGCAGUGGGGAAUAUUGCACAAUGGGCGCAAGCCUGAUGCAGCCAUGCCGCGUGUAUGAAGAAGGCCUUCGGGUUGUAAAGUACUUUCAGUCGGGAGGAAGGUGUCAAGGUUAAUAACCGCAGCGAUUGACGUUACUCGCAGAAGAAGCACCGGCUAACUCCGUGCCAGCCGCCGCGGUAAUAC
rnacentral:rRNA from 1 species